rnacentral:rRNA from 1 species
UACGAGGGGUGCAAGCGUUGCUCGGAAUUAUUGGGCGUAAAGGGUAGGUAGGUGGUUUCGUUUGUCUGGGGUGAAAGCCUUGAGCUUAACUCAAGAAGUGCCCCGGAAACGGCGAAACUCGAGUACUGGAGAGGGUCGUGGAAUUCCCGGUGUAGCGGUGAAAUGCGUAGAGAUCGGGAGGAACACCAGAGGCGAAGGCGGCGACCUGGACAGUUACUGACACUCAACUACGAAAGCGUGGGGAGCAAACAGG